CCCAAGUCACCUUCCAGGGAAAAGUCAAGAUCAGGUUAACCUGUCUCGCUGUUUGGUUUGAGGCUCUAGGUUACUCAGGCGGUGCCCACCAGCAGCAGCCUUUCUCAGGGCAGCUGUAGAGGAAAUGGCAGGCUCUCCACCAAGAGCCUGCCUGUGAACUUCCAGCCCCCUAGCAGGCUCCUCAUGCUGGGAAGAGAAUAAUCUUGGAUUCCCACAAAGACACACAGGAAUAAAGCAGAAGUAACUCAGCAAGGCAAUUUCGUUUAGCAAGAAGUGAGUGUCAGCACCCAAAUGGAGCCAGCAAGCACACGGCUGAGAUGGCCUCAUAUCCUGUGUGAUGGGGGCAGAUGGAGGGCAUGAGGACGCUGGCAACAACCAGGCUCUGAUUCAGUCACCAUUGCCCGAUGAUAUCUACUCGUCAAAACGGACUCCGGGAAGUGAAGGGAGGCUGCCUGCCCCCUCAGUUCCAGCCUGUGUUACAUCAGGAAAACGGUCAGGGAUGCAGCACGGAUGGUAUGAAGGAAGUCCAAAGGCUCUCCCUACACUGGCAAAUACCCAGCCUCCCCAGGAGGGCACUGCCUGUUUGGUCUGUUUCCUCCUAACCCCCGCUUGAAAGCUCAGCACAGCUCAUUGAUCGAGGCUUCCCACAGGCCGGCUGCUUUCAACAGAGCCUUUGAGGAGGACUUAGCUCCUGCUUCCAAGCCUGAGGGCACCUGGGCAUAAAAGAAUCUCGGAGCUGGGGAAGAGUCUAUUCUAGGUUGGAGGUGGAUACAAGCUUGCCACCGUGAGAGGAAAAUUUGCGAGAGUUCGUUCUC